GUGAGGAAUAUUGGACAAUGGGCGCAAGCCUGAUCCAGCCAUGCCGCGUGCAGGAAGACGCAUCUAUGGUGUGUAAACUGCUUUUGUACGGGAAGAAACACUCCCUCGUGAGGGAGCUUGACGGUACCGUAAGAAUAAGGAUCGGCUAACUCCGUGCCAGCAGCCGCGGUAAUACGGAGGAUCCAAGCGUUAUCCGGAAUCAUUGGGUUUAAAGGGUCCGUCGGCGGUUUAAUAAGUCAGUGGUGAAAGCCCAUCGCUCAACGAUGGAACGGCCAUUGAUACUGUUAGACUUGAAUUACAAGGAAAUAACUAGAAUAUGUAGUGUAGCGGUGAAAUGCUUAGAUAUUACAUGGAAUACCAAUUGCGAAGGCAGGUUACUACUUGUGGAUUGACGCUGAUGGACGAAAGCGUGGGGAGCGAACAGGAUUAGAAACCCUGGUAGUCC
rnacentral:rRNA from 1 species